UACAGAGGUCCCAAGCGUUACUGAGAAUCACUGGGUUUAAAGGGUGCGUAGGUGGUCCGUUAAGUCAGUUGUGAAAUCCCCGGGCUCAACCCGGGAACUGCUUCUGAUACUGGCGGACUUGAGGCCAGUAGGGGUCACUAGAACUGACGGUGGAGCGGUGAAAUGCGUAGAUAUCGUCAGGAAUGCCGGUGGUGAGGACGGGUGACUGGGCUGGUUCUGACACUGAGGCACGAAAGCGUGGGGAGCGAACGGG
rnacentral:rRNA from 1 species